rnacentral:misc_RNA from 1 species
CUGAAUCCGUGGGCGACCGGAAAUACUCGCUUGCUCCCCCUGUUUUCCUCGGUCGCCGGAGCGCGUCGCCUCCGAGCAGCAGCAGCAGUCCCUGGUUGUUCCUGGUGGUUCUUGCCUCCUCGUCUGGGUGGUGAAAUAGCGUCGUCUUCGCUGGAACCCACCUGCCUGCUCUUGCUCCGGUCGCGCAGUCGCGCUGAGGCUCUCACCACCGUCUGCUGGUGGUUGCCGCGGCGCCGCUCCUCCCUCGUGGUGGCGGUGGAGGACUACGGUCGGGGAUCGACGGCUUCUUCGUCCGUUGGACGCUCAGGUCUUCAUCGUGCUCUUCACCGGCACGCGGAAGAUAGCUUCGUCGUCACCAUUGCGGCAUCGUAA